rnacentral:lncRNA from 1 species
CAUCUCUGAAAGGUGAGAAAGAAGUGCUUUAGUUCUCCACAUAGAGAGAAAUAAGUUCCCAAACUCUAGGCUAAGCAAUGGCUAGUUAUGGCUACCCCUCUAAAGCCUACCCUGCUUACAAUGAUUUAACACCAUGGGUAAAUUAUGGGGACAAAAUCAGAUAUGCCCCCGAUCAUGUUUGCAAGCCAGUCGUUGUUGAUGCUGAUGGGAGGAAACAUCCGGUCGUUUCUUACACUCCCAGCAAUAGCGCAGAAACCCGUGUUAUAGAAACUCAAACCAUUGUGAUGCAGGAGGUCCGUUCACCUGUUGUCAAUGGCAACACUGGUUAUGGACAUGUUAAAGAUACACCUUUUGUCAAUGGAUACAAACAUAGUUCUCCCGAGCAUGGGCAUGGCAAUCCUGGUUAUGGACAUGUUGAUGAUAAGUGGUAUAGGUCUUCAAAUCCAGAUCCUGGCCGGGAUAAGUGGUAUAGGUCUUCAAGUCCAGAUGAUGGCCGCGAUAAGUGGAAUAGGUCUUCAAGUCCAGAUGAUGGCCGCGAUAAGUGGCAGAGGUCUUCAAGUCCAGAUCAUCAUGGCCGCCCUCAUAAGGUUAAGGAGUUUCUCACCAAGGUGCAAACUGAAGCUAGUUUACCGAAGAGGUUUGGUCUUUUGAGUCCUUCAGUUUGGCGCCGGUCUCCUGAUUCCACAGGCCAUCAUGGGCAUGGGCCUGGGAAUGGCAAUACCGGCUAUGGUGAUUACAGUGACAAGAGCAGCAAGGACGGGCACAAGCCGAGUGUUCGUAAUGGGGAUUAUGAUAACUACUACCACAACAAUGGUAGCAGGACGGAACCGACUGUGACCAAUUCUGGUGGAUGGACAAGGCCAACUCGUGCAGGAUGGGGUGUACCACCUGAUGCCUCACUUUCCAGUCCAACAAACGAUAUCAACACAGCUGUGAGGUACUUGCAGGAAGGUGCCAGACCUACUUCAGUCACCACUGCUCCGCAGUCUCGCGUCACUGUACCGAUCACAACAGGACCUAGACGAGAUGACUAUGGUCAAACUAUCGACAGCAGAGAGGCUGCAAGGCGGUAUGGCAACCUCGGUUCAUCGCCUGUGCCCGAAGAGAGGUACACAGGGACUAUUGACAGCAGGGAGGCUGCGAGAAAGUACAGGGGCACAACCGUGUGACAGCAACAAUUGUGCAUGGCAUAAUAGUAUUAAGCUCUGGCAUGUGAGUCCAUAUAGUGUUUCCUUGGAUGACCCUUUGUUACUGUCUGUCUGGGUGCGUUUUCUAUUUUGUUUUUCGCUUCCUUGUUGCUUUCUGGGACCAAUAGGUAAGUUGUCAUAAUCGCGUGUUUGUGAUAUCAGUAGUAAAAUAAGCUUUCAUUAUGAAGCACUUUGCAAUAAAUUGAUGGAGCAUAUUUUUUUUUUCAACAAUGAUACAAGUGAAUAACAAUUCAUUUACUUUUAACCUCUUCACUGAGUGAGUGGAGAUACAGUGCUUUAUUAAGGUCAUCUACAGCUAUAAUAACAGGUCCAAUUGCUUUUUAUAAAUGAAAUGCAAAGCAGAAAAUAUGGGUUAAUUGCACAAGAUUGAGACUUCAUUUACAUUAACUUAUGCAAUUAAAACACCAACAUAUCAGUGAGACUCUGGAAUGUAGGGUAACUGCUAAGCUACUUCUUCUUGCAUAUUAUGUGACAGAUGUCAUUUGGCAGAGUUUAGGAAAGAAUUUGAUAUUUUUAAUUGCGAUAGCAUAAUAACAGAAUGACAAAAACUACUCAAGUCAGAGUGAAAGCUAGUUUUUUUAAGUUCAAAAUUAAUUUUCGACAACAUCAUGGCCUUGCUUGUUGAACCUGCAUACAAUAUUCUGUAGAUACUCUCUGGAUGUUGUUAGAUUUAAAAAGACCUUAAAAUUGGCAGAGCUUUGAAAAACUUGGGUAUCAGAUUUGAUUAUGGUGACAAAAAUUAGAUAUUAAAAGCUAGCAACUAAUUUCUUUAUUUCGCUAAUUCCCUUGGGCGGCCACAGUGGCAUUUUAUUGGUGGGUUCGCGGAACUGUUCUUGGAAAAGACCAUCGCCGUGACACUAAAUGCUAGCUUGUUGACCAACUUGUUGACACUCUAGCUAUAUGUGUGUAAAUUAGUCAACGAGGUUCUUUUGUUCUUAACUUUUAAAAAAUAAAAGUGAAGUGAAGAAGAACAUAACAUGGGCCAUGGAAG